CAAUAGCGUAUAUUUAAGUUGUUGCAGUUAAAAAGCUCGUAGUUGGAUUUCGGGUGGGACGCAGCGGUCUCGCAUUGCGUUUGUACUGCUGCAGCCCUCCUUCUUGCCGGGGGCGGCCUCUCGGACUUCACUGUCUGGGGGUCAGAAUCGGCGAUGUUACUUUGAGUAAAUUAGAGUGUUCAAAGCAAGCUUACGCUCUGAAUAUAAUAGCAUGGGAUAACACGACAGGACUCUGGCCUAUCGUGGUGGUCUAUAGGACCAGAGUAAUGAUUAAGAGGGACAGUCGGGGGCAUUCGUAUUCCGUUGUCAGAGGUGAAAUUCUUGGAUUUACGGAAGACGAACAUCUGCGAAAGCAUUUGCCAAGGAUGUUUUCAUUGA
rnacentral:rRNA from 1 species